rnacentral:rRNA from 1 species
GGGGAAUUGUUCGCAAUGGGCGCAAGCCUGACGACGCAACGCCGCGUGGAGGAUGAAGAAUUUCGGUUCGUAAACUCCUGUCGAGCGGGACGAAAGAUGCGCGGGUUAAUACCCCGCGCAAGUGACGGUACCGCUAAAGGAAGCCCCGGCUAACUACGUGCCAGCAGCCGCGGUAAUACGUAGGUGGCAAGCGUUGUCCGGAUUUAUUGGGUUUAAAGGGUGCGUAGGCGGCUUAUUAAGUCAGUGGUGAAAGACGGUAGCUUAACUAUCGAGGUGCCAUUGAUACUGAUGAGCUUGAGUACUGAUGAGGUAGGCGGAAUGGACGGUGUAGCGGUGAAAUGCAUAGAUAUCGUCCAGAACACCGAUAGCGAAGGCAGCUUACUAAGCAGUAACUGACGCUGAGGCACGAAAGUGUGGGGAUCAAA